rnacentral:lncRNA from 1 species
UUCAAAACAACAACAGAAAAAACAAAACUGGUGGGCUUGUGGUAAAUUAACUGACUUACAACGCUAAAAUAUGCAGGUUUUUCGAAUGCCUAAGGUGGAUCCUUGUGCUAAAAAUAACAACAACAAUACGAAACACUAAUAUCAUACUAUUGCAUUAUCGAUGGAUCUUGUCGCAACGAUUUUAAUGGCGUACCAUGUUUCUGCAACUGUUACAAUCUACAGCCGUAAUUCAAUGUGUGAGUACUGCCACUAGUAUGUGUAGACGCAUAGGACUUGCUACACUUCCCACGUUCUUUCUUUCGGAGAUUUCUAACCAGUCUGCUAACACUGUAAAGUGUAAUAACAUUAACAGCAACAACUAUGGAUUUCCCACCUUCAAUUUAUGACAGUUGUGUUGAUCCUGUGGAUGGAUGGAUGUCUGGAGUUCAGCCUUAACUUUAGUUAGAAUGAGCUAUUUUGGUGACACAGCUCUACCAUUACGAAUGUUGUUCCAAAGUUAGCCUUGUAAUUUUAUUGUGCUCUUUCCAUGUUACCGACAGAAUAACGUUUGUAUCUUGAGUUCUUAAUAUGGAAAACAUGCAGUACCUGCAGGGUGCCACCAUGUUGGAAUAAUUUGGAACUGCUAGUUGAGCAGACUGGACUGUUCAACCAAAUAAGCAGAACACAUUCCAGGGCAGCGAGCUGGAAUGGUUUUGCGAAAAUGACUUUUCAGGAUUUACAGUUUUAAAAAGAAAAAAGCAGAAAGAAUUUAGGAGAGCUUGACAUCAUGAUAAGAUUGGAGAUGAAAGUAGAAGACUAUGAGACUUCAACAUCCCACGAAGUUCUGGUUAACAGACUUGGUGAUUUAUUAGAAUCUAAAUACGGUUAUUUUAGUACAACUCUGAAGGGGAUCUUGAUACGUCUCUAACAAAUUCUUUGGAAAGUGAAGAUUCAGAUGUGCAGUGCCACAUUUGUAAUGUUAUUCUGAAGGAAAGUGAAAGCUAUAGAAAGCACAUGUCUGUACAUCGCAAGAAGUCACUGCAGAGAAAGAAAGAGGAGAUUACUAAAUAUUUUAAUUUUCCAGUCUACUAUGAUCCAUAUGAAAGUGACAUGGAACUUUGGUGUGAAGAUGAGGAUUAUACAAAAUCUUGUAGUGAACUCAAAUUAGUUAGUAGAGCCAAAAAACAAGGUAACAAAAUGUCCAAAAGGAAAACAUUGAAGGAACUACCAGCACCAUUUUCUACGAGAGAAAAUUGUCCCGAGUGCAAGGAGCCUUUUUACUAUCGCAAAUCAUUUCUUGCUCACCUUAGACUGAUUCACAAGGUCACUGAUGCAUCUGUCCUGCUAGCCAUCAAGUGUAAAGAUCAUGAAGAGCCAGCUUGCAACAAGUAAUGGGAAACAGAAGAACUUAAGAAGACAUCAUUUAACAUUAAUAGUGUAUUGUGCUCUUUUCAGGUCCCCAUCACUGGGGUGUAUUCAGUUUAAUACCUUGUUUUAUAGUUAUAUUAGAUGAUGUGCUAUUAUGGAGUGUUUAUGUAAAUAUUUUAUUUACUUUGUGUGUAAGGAUACAAAAAGAGAUUUAUGUUCUUGUAUGCAAUAAUGAUAUUGUUACAAAUAAGACUCAAAAACAAAUAUCUAUAUAUAUAUAUGUGUGUGUGUGUGUUUCUAUAUUAUACUUAGAACCAGAUUGUUUAUUAAUUGGAAAUAUUUACUCUAGAGAAAUAUGCAAUGAACACUGGGCUUUUAUGUUUUUGCUUUUGUUUUGAAGCUGUUUUUAUACCUUAAUUGGAAAUAUGUAUUCUAGACAAAUGUGUAAUGAAUACUGUGCUUUUAUGUUUCUGUUUUUAUUUUUAAAGCUAUUUUUAUAUUUAAACUAAAUAGGGAAAUUAUUAUAUUUAGAUAUCUUUGUAAGUGUCUGAAGUUUGAAAACUCUCAUAAUUUAUUUUAUCAAAGGACAUAGUUUAUUCUGUUCAGUUAACAAUGUUCAGUUAACCAUCUAAUGCAGCAUUUAUAAUCCAGCUAACAUCAUCAGUGUUCCAGCAUGUACAACAGGAUAAUAUAAAAAAAAAUAUCAUUUCUCCUGAAUUCUUUGUAAGGUUUAUGCUGUUUGUAUGUAUUAAUUGAAUCUUAUGAGCAGACUUUUGAGGGGAUAAAGAUAAUUUACAUUUUGAAAAUGUAGUCUCCAGUGGGAGAUGAUGCAGAGAAUCGUUGUGGGGCAUAAUAUGGGUGGUGGGAUCCAUGUAUAUUGGAAACAAUCUUUAAUUGUUUGUAAAGGCUUAUAUGUUCUUAAAGGCAUCAUCUAUACUAAAUUCAAACUGAUACAAUACUCUUAUUGGAUUGUUUGUAGAGAGAGAUGUAUUGUUUUCUGUUUAUUCCUAUUCAACCUUGUUAGAUAAAACAACACGCACUUACAGAAAUAACUAUUUAAUUUUACUGUUUUCAUGAAAUGAUAUAUAUAUAUAUAUAUAUGUGUGUGUGUGUGAGUUUUAACUAAAAAACAAUUAUGAAAGACUAACAACUUAUCAUGUAUUGGUUUUAUACUAGUAAAGUUCUAACUCAUAGUAAGGUAAACAGAGUAUAAACCCAAGCAAUUGUUUAGAUGUUUGAAUCCGUAAGUCCCAUGGUUUAUUAUUUUGUUGUGUGCUUACUACUUGAAGUGUUCAUUUUACAACUAAAAGUAUCAAAUAUGUUUGUGGUAUUAACAUUAUUACUCACGUUAGAACGUUAUAGAUAAAGUUCAGUGAAACAUCUCAAAAACCAGACAUUAAAUACUCAUCAGUACUAGGAAUGGGCUGUUUUCUAAACUUCUCUACCUUCAUUUAUGUAAACCAGUUGUACCUCACUUUAGUUGCCUUGUCUUUAAACUGAAAACUAGCUAAUUUUUCCAUUCAAAAAAAUAUAAAUAAAACUUGAAGAGUUUGCAAAGAUUGAAAUCAAUCAUGCCAAUAUGUAUAUGAUUUUUAAAUACAAAUUUUAGAGUUAUAAUUGUAGUAGUUUUGUUUUAAAAAAAAUAAUUAAAUAUUGAUACAAUUUGACAAAUAGACAGAAAGUUAUUUUUUAUACCAUGUAUUUAUUUUCAUGGUUACAGUUAUUGAAAGUCAAAUUCACAAAAUGUACCAAUCAUUUGAAUUAGAUAUACUUCCAGCUUCGGGCAGGCUACAGAAGUUUUACCUUGUAUAUUAAUACUGAUAAUCAUAUUAGAUGUUAAAGUUUUUACUUUACACAGUUAUUAACAUAUCCAGAUAUAAAUCUUUACUCAUUUGCAUGCAUAUUAUAAGAAAAUUAGUUUUCAAUUUUUUAAAAGUGUUUUUUUUUCUUCAUUUGCAUAGAUUCAACUCAUGUAACUAAAAAAUGUUUACCGAAGUUUGUGUCAAUAAUAUUUUGACAUCAAGUAGUUCAAAAUUUAAAAAACACCACCAGACUGUAACACUGCCAAACACUUCUGUCCAAGAUUAAUUAUUAUCUAUAUUAAUUUUUAAAUUGAUGUUUUAACCUUAGCUAUUUUUAUACAAAAAACAACUUGUUUUGUAGAAUUACUAAAUGUUGGACUUGAACUGUAUUGAAAUGUAUUUUUUCACUCAUGUCAAUAAACCAAUAAUGUGCAUUGCAUGUUAGCAGUAUGUCUGUUUUGAGGCAUAUGUUUAUUUUUAUCAUUAUACAUGUGUUUUAGUGAAUCCAGUUAUGAGCAUUUACUACAUGCAUCAGAAUCCUUUAAAUGUAAAAUAAGUAAUAUUGUUUUGUUGAUGCUUUAAAGAACAUGAAUUUUUAUUGUCUAAAGUCUACAAGAAUAUUCUUUCUUUUUAAGUGCUAUUAAUAUGAAUGAAUUAUUGUUUUGUUACUUUUUAUAAAUAAGUUGUAGUUUGCAAGUCAAAACUUUAAGAUUUAAGUGUUACAAAAACAUCAUUUAGCAGACUAAGCAAGUAUUCUGAUUUUGUCUCUAUUGAUUGGUAGGGUUCUUUGAAUAUGGAAGAGGCUAUGAAGAAACAGCAAAAUCAAACAAUAUCUAUUGUGAUGUUUGUGGAAAACGGUAUUCAUCCAAACCAUCUUUGUGGUCACAUAGACAUCACCAGCACAAGAGUCACCGACACUUCUCCUGACAAGAAAAUUGGACUGUGCUCAAAUUUGCAGAUCAGUCAUCUGUGUUAUCAGAUUCAGAUCGAUUUUGUGCAAUUUGUCAACAGCUGUUUGCAAACAAAUACAGCUUCAGACGACACCAGCUGAUGCACCAACCCUAUCGAAAAAAAUUUAAGUGUUCUUUCUGCUCUAAACAAUUCAGUUGGCCAGGAGACAUGAAAGCUCAUAUUAAAAUGUAUCAUAAAAAAUUCAUUACCUGUUAAAAUGCAGGAACUUUGACCCUUAUGAACAUGCUUUAAAUCUGGACAGAAGUAUAAAUGCAGCAUAUGUCAUGCCAGAUUUGCAUUCACAUCAGGAUUGAGUAGACAUAAGAAGUUCAUACAUGGAAGGACUGGAAUAAACAUCUGCUCAAUAUGUGGAAAGGGUUAUCAGAGACCUGACACUUUAGUUUCUCACAUGAAGACUGUUCACCAGGAGUCAGAAAUGUGGAAGAAGUCAUUCUCUGUGAAGUUAGCCUAAAUAAGACUUGUUUGUUGUGGCACCAACAUUUAUUCAAAUUUCGAUACUCAAAGGAAAGUUAGAAAAACCAGAUGUUGGUGUAUGGUAGAUAACAUUGUAUAGUUUACAAACAACAAGACUUGUUAAGAUAUUAUCAGGUGUGACAACUAGAUACAUGUUCAAUGUCUCCUUUUUCCUCUGUAUCUCUCAAAGCUAUCAGAAAACUUUUGCUUUCUUACUGUAUUCUAAUUUUCUCUGCCACAAAUUGUGAUUUUGCAUUAGUGAUUUCCUUAUACUCAUUUUUCAUGUAGCCCUGUUUCUUCUGUGUGUAUUACAUCAUACAUCUGUUUGCAACACACUGUUUAUCAUGUAUAUUCUCGGUGAUAUUGGACACAUUUAUUUUCCUUUUUUACUGUUUAACUGAUAACUUUACCAAGCAAAAACUCAGUUAAUAGUUGAUUAUUUAAGUAUUUCAAGAAGUUUUCUUUUGAGACCUGGUUGAAGACAGACUGGCAGAUAUGAAGAAUUUUCAUACAGCUGUGUGUUAAUAUUCUGUUUUGUAACUAUAUUUUUAUGUAGUCAUAUAUAUAUAUAUAUGGCACAAAAUGCCAGUUAGCCAAAAAAUGUGCUUACAAUAUAUUUGUUGGUAAUCUUUGCUUUUGUUUUUUAGGCAAUGUAAUGUAAAAAUAAUUAUGAAUGAAGAAUUAAGGCUGAUAUAAAUUAGUUGUACACAUCAGCUUUCUCUCUCAGACAUCAAGUUUGUAAUCAGGAAUGAUGACUGAAUGUAAGAUUGUUUUUUUUUACUUCAUUUCAUUUUCUUUCUUUUUUUCUUGUUAAAUUUGGUUUUCUUUUU